UAUCAAAGUACUUUCAUGGCCCUCAGUGGUCUUGGCCAGCGCCAUCUCUCCCACGCUCGGUGAUGCUGAACUCUGGGCCUCCAGCUGAGAACUUGCUCAGACAUUUGAGCCAAUUCCAGAGAUCCUCUUUAUAAAACACCAGCCUUGCCUCUGGCUUCCUGUUGUGCCCUCUGUAUGAUGUGAGAAGACUCCAGAUCUAGGCAAGAAUUCAGGUCUCUAUAUUUCACAACAAGGUAAUACAUAUGACAGGUGCUGGACAGAGCUGAACUGGAACAAGGGUCUGCAGCCAUUCACAGAGGGCAUGUCAAUCUGUGUUCACUCAGGCAGGAGGCAGGAACAUGCAGGAUGGGAAUGGGAAAGUAAACAGGAGUGGCCAUGGACUCCUGGCCUCUUCUCUCCAUGAGGUUUUCUCACCGAGAGCCUGCUCCAGGGAAGGUGGUUGGCCAAGGCCUGGGGAGCAGCUUUGUGAGGCCUAGGAAGACCCCAGAAGAGGACUUUGCUGAGAAGAGAGCAGACAAGAAGUCAGGAGUGGGGUGAGAGCAGCUUCUCCCUCUCCUUCGCACACUUGUACAUAGGCAUUCUCCCUCUAUUUCCAGCUCCUGCACCCAAGCUAUAAAAACAAGUAUGGCCUACUGUAAGGCAUUCCACAAUAAAGACCUCAUUCCUUCUGAAAACUUUUCACACUAUAAGAAGCUUCUUCUGAAAGGCAAGCGCAGUCACUAGCAACUAACACUGUAGCCACUGCUAUUCAUCUUUCUAGGUAUUAAAUAACAUCUAUUUGAGGGCAAGAGCGGAACACAAGAGACAUAUCCAGAAGGAGAAAAGAGAGAGAAAAUGAAAAGGGAAUUAAUUGGUGAAGUGGGAUGUACCAAUUUUUCCUCAGGGUUGCCUGUAUUCAAAAUACAAAAAUACUCUGUGAGUAUGAAAGUAUUCAAAAAUAUUCGGUGAGCAAUUUUCAGUGUACAUUAUUUAUCAAAUAAGCAUUUUUUUCUGCACCUUGGCACAUAAUAGGUGCUCAAUAAAAGUUAUUGUUAUUACUGGUAUUAGUACUGUUGCUGUAAUGCUAUUACUGCAUGCCAUGUUAACAUACUGUUCUGGGUUCUAGGGAUAGAGAGGGGCAAAACCUAGUCUGUGUCCUCAAGAACUUACAGCCCAGAAGGG
rnacentral:lncRNA from 1 species